ACCGGGAAGGAAGCGGAAGGAGGAAGAGAAAAAGGAAAGAAGGAGAGGAGUCAAGGAGAUGAAUAAUAAAAAGAAAAUAAGAAAGCAAGAGCACGAGAGAAGAAGCAGAGGAGGAAGGGAAAGAAGAGAAAGAAAAAGACUCCUCAGGAGCCAUUCCUAAUGUGACUCACACAGAAGCAUUCGGGAGACAACCGGGCCUGGUGUACAGAUGUGACCAGACUACUGUGCUCACGAACUCCCAACUGCUGCAGCUGGUUGAAUAAGACCUGAAUAAGAUCAAGCCAGAUGACAUUCCAGCAUGAAGGGGAAAUAUAUGAGCCUCACUGCCAGCUGAGGAGCUAUGGGACAUUGGGCUGCGUCUUCAGAACCUGCCACAAACUCAGCAAAUGUCUUAAUGAAUUAAUGAUUAACAAUCAUGCCGACAUCCUUCACCAUCCCAGGAAUGGACCUGACUAGGGCUUUGAGGGAAAGAAGAAAAGACAGAGAUUCUCAGAAAACCUGGAUCAGGUGGGCUGGGCUCUCUGAGGGAGAAACUGCAGCACCUUUGUGUGGAUAAUGUUGAACACUGUGUAAAGAUUAUCCUUGUAUCAUUCAAAUGUUGGUUUCUGUGCCCCCGUAUCUGGAGAAUCUCCUGUCUUAAUGUUGUGUAAACAUUGCUCCCCAAUUACUCCAUGAUUGAUCAAUAAAGACGCUGAUUAGCCAAUGAUUGAGCAGGGCAGAGGAUAGAGCCAGACUUCCUCUCAGCCAAGGGAGGCCAAGGAGAGAGCAAAAGUGGGGAUUCAUGAUGGGGAGAGUCCAGGAGACACCAUGAGAAAAUACUGGAACCCAGAAAGCCAGAUCAAUACUAAAAUGUAAGUAUAAUGGGGAUUUUGACUGGGAGGAUCAAAAUAGAGUAAUACUGCUCAGUUGUUGUGUCCUUAAAGCUUGUUAAAUAAAUACAAUAGUCCAAUCCCAAUUAUUUGUGAGCCAGCUGGGUUAAGAAGAAAACUGCAAAACAAACUUACCAAAAAAUGCCACUCACACACCUCAGAAGCACAGAGUGUUUACUAUAUAUAGUAGAAUACGAGGGUAGAGUUAUUACACACAGUUGAACACAGAGACAGGGCUAUGACAUACAGAUAAACAAGGAGGCAGGGUUUAUGGAUACAGGCAGAUCAAGGGGACACGCUUAGCUAAUCUUGGUGAGAAGCAAAGUUAUAACCAUCCAGGGAGUGAAGCUACAGUGGACAUUUUCUGUAACACUAUCAACACCUGGUGUUGAUAACCUAAGACUGCUUGGGGUGGCACCGCCCACAGCGGGUUGGGCCCUCCCACAUUAAUCAUUAGUCAAGAAACACCCUACAGGUGACCUGAUGUAGGCAUUUCCUCCACUGAGGUUUCUCUGGGUCAGCUUGACAAAGAUCUAGCCAGGGCCACAUGCAUUCUCAUCUAUCUCUUGUGUACCCUCCAAUGUUCUUUAAACCAACUUUAGACUACUCGUAAUACAGAAUGCGCUGGGGAUUUAGCUCAGUGGUAGAGCGCUUACCUAGGAAGCGCAAGGCCCUGGGUUCGGUCCCCAGCUCCAAAAAAAAAAAAAAAAAAAAAGCGUAAUACAGAAUGCAAGGUAAAUGCUACUAGAAAGCUAUCCUGUUGCAUUUUUGCAGAGCAAGAGUCCAGUGCUGUCAUAAUUCUUUUUUAAUUCGGUAUUAAUUUAACAUAUAAAAUUAAAAUCACUAAAAUGUCCCUUUCCUUCAUACUAUUUUCAAAAUCUGUUCUUUUAAAAAUUAUGUAUUAUUAUUUGAGAAUGUUGUAUAUGGGUAUACUGUUUUUAAUCACUUCCUCCCACCCCUACCCCUCACCAACUCCAUGUCCCUGUUUUAUUUUAAUAACUCACCAAGUCUACUUGCUGCUCAUAGACACAUGAUGCAGGGCCAUCCGUGGAGCGCCAGCAGCCUAGGUUUGAGACAUACUCCUGAGAAAAAGAGACUCUCCUUACUUUUCAUCCAAGGCUGGUUGAAGCUCCAAUGUGGAAGCCACAGCUGCAGUUGAGAGGACUACAUUAUUGUCUCUUAUAUUUCAAUUAUACAUUGCAUUGUGAGUCAUAAAACACAAUUCACUUUUUGAAAACCCUGAUAAACUGAGAGAGCCACCACUUACUACUGCUGCCACUGUAACGAGAUCUAUUUAGCAUAGCCUCUUAUACACUUGUGGUCCUACCAAAAUAUUCCGUAUCAAGAGAUCCUCCCCUUUCCAGUAGUGUUCACGUCACUUUUUAGAGACUUUAUGUUUAUGGUGACUCGCCCUUGCCAGCCCUGCUGCUGUGCUUUCAAACCACACCUCUGUUCCUUUUCUUACCUUUUCCGUUGGCCCAGAUCACCUUUGUGGCACAGAGUAGAUGUGUGAGGCAGUGACGGAAACCAUCAUUAUGUCAUUUGCUGUUUAAUUUUUGUUGCUUUGUCCUGCCUGCAUUUACAUGUGUGUCACACAUGUCCUCAGUGCCCUCGGAAGUCAGAAGAAGACGUCAGAACCCGUGGAACUGGAGUUACAGAUUGCAGUGAGCCGCUGUGUGGGACCUGGGAACCAGACCCGAGGCCUCUACAAGAGCAGCAGGUGCUCUUAACCAGUGAGCCAUUGUGCCAGCCCUCACCUGUGAUUUUAAAGGAAAAUACAAUGUUCCAACAUUAGGCACGACUUAUUUACUUGUGAAAAAUAAUAACAUUAAAAUUAUUACAUAAAAGGAAA